UACGGAGGGUGCAAACGUUGCUCGGAAUUAUUGGGCGUAAAGCGCACGUAGGCGGCCGACUAAGUCGGGUGUGAAAGCCCAGGGCUCAACCCUGGAAGUGCACUCGAAACUGAUCGGCUUGAAUAUGGAAGAGGGUCGCGGAAUUCCCGGUGUAGAGGUGAAAUUCGUAGAUAUCGGGAGGAACACCAGUGGCGAAGGCGGCGACCUGGGCCAAUAUUGACGCUGAGGUGCGAAAGCGUGGGGAGCAAACAGG
rnacentral:rRNA from 1 species